GAACUCCCAGAAGAGUGUUGAACAGGCAGUAAGAGAAUAUUUGCCAUGUAAAAUUUGCCAAACAGACUUUGGUCGUAUCACUGAUAUUUGGUGCCAACAACCAUGAGCUGGGACUGUGAGCUAGGACUAUCCUUAGUUUUCACUGUGCACUAACUAAACUCAAGCAGUAUAGGAAACAGAAUGUCUUUGAAAAUCAUGAGAAAAUUACAACAACAACAACAGCAUGAAGUAUAUGAUUCCAGAAACCUAAUGUCUACAGCAUGGGAGAUAUUUCUUGUGCAUCAUUCCAAGUGGCUAGGAUAUUUCCUUCAGCAACAUCUUGGUCUCUUCUUCGUAUUGAUAGAACAGAGCUGUUGGAUUUUCUGCACAUCCUGAAUCAGACACCUCCCAUUCAUCUCUGGUCCAUAACCAGGCUCUUCUGCCUUCACUGCCUUUGCCAUCUAACUUUGGAGCACAGAUGAGAUGAUUCCACCAAGCUUCUCAAAAUCUUAUGUGGAAUCAAAUGAAAAGUAUCAAAGUCUCCAGCUGGAUCCUUAGCAUCUAUGGUAUCUCAUUUUCUCCACGGAAGCAAGGAAGGGCUCCCCAUUCAUGGAGAAAUACCAGUUUCAUUUUAAGCAUGACUACUGAUGUCCAUGGCAAGUCUGCUGACUGAAAAGAAAGUGUUUAUUGAUUCAACCUUUCCAUAACCCUUUACUAAAGUAAACAUGUCUGAGACAACUAAGCAAAACAUCAAAUUUCACUCAACUACCAUGUGGCCUUCUUUACUUAAAAAACUUGGCAUGGGCCACUACUCCAGCCAGGGUCCCAGGAGCACAGAGGACCUGCCUUUUAAAUGGUACAAUAAUAUCCACCACCACCGAUUUUCACUCCCAUCACUAUGGGCACCCAUCUCUACUGCCUUCCCAAUAUCUUUGGUUAAUUAGUGGUGCCUAAAAUGUUAGUAAUGUCCUCAUUAUAAUACAGGUUAAUAUGGGGCAUUUUCAUCUCAUUUUAAGUUGAUAUAAACAUCUUUUCUUGGAAGAUGAGAGAACAAGUCUGCACAGUUUCAACACUUUUGAAAAAUCUUACCUUGUUGAUAAUUGUGCAGUCUUGCAUUUAUUAUUACUUCCAGAUUUGAUCCAAAAUAAGAAUCUUAGGGUGGCAAUGCCAUAAUCCCUAACUGCGCAUCAUCUUCUUCUAUACUGAAACCUGGAUUUUACCCAACAUGGAGAAAUUAAUAAAAUACCCUCACAUUCUGUGAUAUAACUUUCAUAAUAUAUCCAUCAUCACCGGAGGGAGAAAAUGGUUAAAGACAUGUGUAUACAAGAGAUACAAUUCUGCAUAUAUUUAUAUUUAUACUUAUUUAUUCAUUCAACAAAUAUUUAUUGGCCAUCUACUAUGUAUGAAGCACCAUACUAGGCACUAAAAACAAUGAUACAGAAUACACAUUUUCUUUGGGAACUUUUCCAAGGGAUAUGAAAAAGUAUGGAUAACAUACCCAGGCUAGUGAAAUAUAAGAAAUGUUUUAGUCAAUUUUAUUGUUUUGCCUAGUACCCCAUUCAGGAAGUUUUCUCCCAAAGGUCCAACUCAUUGGAAAGUAAAUAAUGGUAUCUUGCCCCCUCAUCAACCCAUCAGUGUCAAGUUGAGUAAUAAAUAUUGACCAUUCAACCCAAGAUGGUCUAAGUUAAAUAUCAAACUGCCAAAAAUGGUAGUUAAGAAUAUAUAUUCUGAAAUAUGUCUGCCUAGGUUAGAAUUCAGGUUCUUCCUCUCGUUAUGUGCAUUAUGUGACUUAAUUAUUGAAUAAUUAAGUUAUUCAAUUUC